rnacentral:rRNA from 1 species
UGCAAAAAAUUCAAGUAUGAAACUAAGGGAUUAUGCUGCAGAAAAGGACAGAUAAGACUAGCCAAUGCAGAUACACCACCUGAACUCAUAAGACUUUGGACAAGCAACGACUUUGACGCAAGACAUUUUUGGAACAAUAUAAGAUUUUUCAAUGGCCACUUCUCGUUUACUACUCUAUAUUGCCAUCUUGACAGAGACACAACUGACAUGCGACCAUCUGGUGGUAUUUACACCUUUCGGGCACAUGGUCAGAUCUAUCACAACAUACACUCAUUUGGUAAUAGUUGAUCAGAUCCAAAGCAUGUGGAGCUAUACUUCUACGACGAUGAUCCAAGCUUAGAGCAUCGGUACCGCCGUUGCCGCGAGGAAAUGUACGAGCAAGACAAGCAUGUGAUCGGGAUAAUAACCGACAUCCUAUGGGAUAACCCAUACUCUCAACAGUUUAGGAGUUUGGGACGAGCCCAAAACCUUGAGGACUACAGACUCAUCUUAAACCUGGACCAAAGAUUGGACCAGAGAACAUACAACGCGCCAAUAAAUUCGGAGGUAGCUGCAGUGUGGAUUGAAGGAAAUGAAAGAACUUAUGACAGGAAUGUAAUACUACAUGGAAACAACAACGAAAUAGAGCACAUUCGAUCAUAUACAGGUGCUAUGAUUCGUUGUCGUACCCUCUAUUCUUUCCAAGAGCUGAACUGGGUUGGCAUAGGAAAAUCCCAAAGAGGAAUAUAA